ACAAGGCAAAAAAAUCACCUAGGCCUAAUUUAUCAAAAAUUAUAGAAUGUUUAGAAGUUCAAUUUCAUUCUAAUUUUGACUAAUUAAGCAAUCACGAACUUAAUUACUCAUAGUCAAGUGUGCCAUUUCAUAAGCAAUUUCAUUCAUGCGAUUUAGCCUCAAUUAAGCUCAAUUGACUCCAAGUUGGAGUAGAUUACAACCCGAUCAGAAUGUAACCGGCUGUAAUUAAGUGAGAUUAAGCCAAAUUAGAUCCUAAUUAGCAUGUCACUACCGAUUAAUCCUAUGGGGCACUAAUCACACACAGUGAAGUCAUAAUUAGCAAGAUUAAGCUUAUGUAUAUGAAAUUAAUUAUCUCUACCAUCCUAUUAGCAUGCUAUUAAGAGUAUAUACAAUCGUCCUAAAUCGAAUUAUCACAAAAAUGCCCGAAAAUCCUGAUGAGGAUCAUAAGCAUGACAAUGAGGCUGAUGCACACGAGCUUGGAAGUCGGACUCGUGAAGAGGGAGCUGAAGCACAAGACCUUGGAGGCUUGCAUGUUCCGAGUGGGCCAAUCAUACGGGCGAAGGCCAAACAAAUCCAACAAGCUAUGGAGAGCUUGCUGAUGGGCUUUUUGGGCCAAGAGAAGUCUAAUUCAGUUGGGUCUCCAAAGGCCUUUAUUCAACUGACUUGCCAUGAGAUGCUGAAGAUGCAAUAAAAGACUGCCAACUAUUCUAGAUAGCCAUUAUUUAAUUUCCUUUGUUAUUUCUGGCUUUAGGAAACUAAGGUUAUUCCAGUUGCCUAGUUUAUUAGUUUCCAGUUUCUCCUAGGCUUAUAUAAAGGAGGCUGAGUAGCUGAUCAGAGGUAGACUAUUCUGGUAUUUUGGUGAGAUUUUCUCCUUUGUUCUUCAUUGAACUCCUUCGGACGAACAAGUGUGACAACUUGUGAUUGUUUGGUACACUUUGAUAUUAUUGGUUCUUGUUUCUUCAUAAACAACGGGUCAAUAAUCAUUGUCUUGAUAUUGUUGGCUCUUGUUUCUCUAUAAACAACGGGUCAAUAAUCCUCUAUAUCUAAAUCUGUAUUUGGCGAUUUGGGAAUCGAUUCAAGUUGGUCGUCGGGUUUUACAAUCCUUCGUGAGUUCCGCAUCAUUUUGGUAUCAGAGCAUCAAGCUCCAAAUCAGGUUUAUCCUAUCCUUUACGUUUCAAUUCGUUGAAUUUCAUUCCAUCUAGCUUGUUCGUUCUGGAUUGAUUAGUAGCAAAAAAAAAAAAUUCGGCCAAAAAAAAUAGAGCUGAAAAAAUAAAAAUAAAAAAAGAUAGAAAGAAAAGAAAGAAGCUGUCGCUGUCAAUUUGAUCCGGAUUCUUUGCAUCAGAUCAUUCUAAAGUUGUUAUUUACCUUGUUGUUGAUCCGCGUUGAUUUCGCUCCCAUAAUUACCCAAUACCUGAUCUUCCAUAUUCCCUUCCUUAUAUCAUCCUCCAUAUCUUUCCAUCUAUAUAUUACUCUGAUAUAUUCCUUUCUUCAUUCCUAAAAUCUUUCCUUGGUUAACUUUCCUUUAACCAUUUAUUUCCCUGUUAGUUUGUGUCCAAGUUAGGGCCAAUAUAUUAAUUGUUGUUUUGAAUUAUUAUGAGCUAGUUGCCUUUGAUUUGUGAGUUGCUGAGUUCUUUAAAGAACUUUGAGGAGGAAAUUAGAGUGGAAAGAGGCAAGAGUAGUGAGCGUAUCAAAGGGAAACAACCAUUGAACUGAGCGAAACACGAGUGUUGAGUGACGAUAAUUUGAGGGCAAACAUGUGAGCGAGUGGUUGUGAGGUCCUAACACCAAUUUUAUUUUCGUAGUGCAAACAUGAGUUUCGCAGGAAAAGGCAAUGAAUCUACAACCGGGGAUGGAAGUAAUGCCGGCCAACAAGAUGUUGCUUUUACUUUGAAAGCCAUGCAGCAACAAUUCGAGAGAUUGGAAGUUGUUUUUGGAGAUAUCCGUGAUAGAAUGGACCGGCAAGAUCAAUGAAUUGAUCAAAUGUAGAGGGAACAGCCCAGGCAGCAUGUGCAAGUUCCCAAUGCAAGGAGACUAAUCCGCCAGCCGGCGAAUCCUCAUGAUGAAGAAGAUGAAGAUUAUGAGGAAGAUGAAGAAAUUGCAUCCGUGGUAAGUGUGAGGAGAGCCAGAGGAGUUAGGAAUGAGGGGCGAAGACAUGGUAGGCGAGAUCAAGCAAUUAGAGAUGGAGUAGAUAGGAAUAUUGGGAGUAUUAAAAUGACAAUACCACCUUUUCAAGGGAGGAAUGACCCUGACGCUUUUAUUGAAUGGGAGAGGAAGGUGGAGCUUGUAUUUGAUUGCCAUAAUUACUCGAAAGAGAAGAAAGUGAAGUUUGCAGCGGUGGAAUUCACUGAUUAUGCCAUCGUUUGGUGGGACAAAUUGGUUAAGGAAAGAAAAAGGAACCAUGAAAGACCUAUUGAGACUUGGGAGGAGAUGAAGACUGUCAUGCGGAGGCGAUUUGUUCCCUUGUAUUACUAUCGGGACUUGCAUUUAAAAUUGCAAAGUC